GCUAAUGUGUUGUCUUUGCCCUGGUCUGUCAGCCUCUUUACGGUGCUGCCUUGUGGAAUCUGGAUCAAGCAGCAUUGUACAGGGCUAUGAGAGACCCGGGCCCGUCAGCUCCUGGAAAAC
rnacentral:precursor_RNA from 8 species